AUGAACGCUAGCUACAGGCUUAACACAUGCAAGUCGAGGGGCAGCAUGGUCUUAGCUUGCUAAGGCCGAUGGCGACCGGCGCACGGGUGAGUAACGCGUAUCCAACCUGCCUUACACUCUUGGACAGCCUUCUGAAAGGGAGAUUAAUACAAGAUGUUAUCAUGAGUAAGCAUUUUCGCAUGAUUAAAGGUUUACCGGUGUAAGAUGGGGAUGCGUUCCAUUAGAUAGUAGGCGGGGUAACGGCCCACCUAGUCUUCGAUGGAUAGGGGUUCUGAGAGGAAGGUCCCCCACAUUGGAACUGAGACACGGUCCAAACUCCUACGGGAGGCAGCAGUGAGGAAUAUUGGUCAAUGGACGAGAGUCUGAACCAGCCAAGUAGCGUGAAGGAUGAAGGUUCUAUGGAUUGUAAACUUCUUUUAUACGGGAAUAAACGAAUCCACGCGUGGAUUUUUGCAUGUACCGUAUGAAUAAGGAUCGGCUAACUCCGUGCCAGCAGCCGCGGUAAUACGGAGGAUCCGAGCGUUAUCCGGAUUUAUUGGGUUUAAAGGGAGCGUAGAUGGGUUGUUAAGUCAGUUGUGAAUGUUUGCGGCUCAACCGUAAAAUUGCAAUUGAUACUGGCAGUCUUGAGUACAGUUGAGGUAGGCGGAAUUCGUGGUGUAGCGGUGAAAUGCUUAGAUAUCACGAAGAACUCCGAUUGCGAAGGCAGCUUACUAACCUGUAACUGACAUUGAUGCUCGAAAGUGUGGGUAUCAAACAGGAUUAGAUACCCUGGUAGUCCACACGGUAAACGAUGAAUACUCGCUGUAGGCGAUAUACAGUCUGCGGCCAAGCGAAAGCAUUAAGUAUUCCACCUGGGGAGUACGCCGGCAACGGUGAAACUCAAAGGAAUUGACGGGGGCCCGCACAAGCGGUGGAGCAUGUGGUUUAAUUCGAAGCAACGCGAAGAACCUUACCUGAUCUUGACAUCCCGAUGACCGCUUCGUAAUGGAAGUUUUUCUUCGGAACAUCGGUGACAGGUGGUGCAUGGUUGUCGUCAGCUCGUGUCGUGAGAUGUUGGGUUAAGUCCCGCAACGAGCGCAACCCUUGCCGAUAGUUACUAACAGGUUAUGCUGAGGACUCUGUCGGGACUGCCAUCGUAAGAUGUGAGGAAGGUGGGGAUGACGUCAAAUCAGCACGGCCCUUACGUCCGGGGCUACACACGUGUUACAAUGGGGGGUACAGAGGGCUGCUACCACGCAAGUGGAUGCCAAUCCCAAAAACCUCUCUCAGUUCGGAUUGAAGUCUGCAACCCGACUUCAUGAAGCUGGAUUCGCUAGUAAUCGCGCAUCAGCCACGGCGCGGUGAAUACGUUCCCGGGCCUUGUACACACCGCCCGUCAAGCCAUGGGAGCCGGGGGUACCUGAAGUGCGUAACCGCAAGGAGCGCCCUAGGGUAAAACUGGUGACUGGGGCU
rnacentral:rRNA from 1 species